ACUCCUACGGGAGGCAGCAGUGAGGAAUUUUGCGCAAUGGGCGAAAGCCUGACGCAGCAACGCCGCGUGAGUGAUGAAGGCCUUCGGGUCGUAAAGCUCUGUCAAGUGGGAAGAACCUAUAUAAUGUUAAUAUCAUUAUAUACUGACGGUACCACUGAAGGAAGCACCGGCUAACUCCGUGCCAGCAGCCGCGGUAAGUACGGGGGUGCAAGCGUUAUUCGGAAUCAUUGGGCGUAAAGAGCACGUAGGCGGCCUGGUAAGUCAGAUGUGAAAGCCCGGGGCUUAACCCCGGAAGUGCAUUUGAUACUGUCAGGCUUGAGUAUGGGAGAGGGAAGUGGAAUUCCUGGUGUAGAGGUGAAAUUCGUAGAUAUCAGGAGGAACACCGGUGGCGAAGGCGACUUCCUGGACCAAUACUGACGCUGAGGUGCGAAGGCGUGGGUAGCAAACAGGAUUAGAUACCCCGUGGUAGCGACUGA
rnacentral:rRNA from 1 species